UACAGAGGUCUCAAGCGUUGUUCGGAUUCAUUGGGCGUAAAGGGUGCGUAGGCGGCGCGGUAAGUCGGGUGUGAAAUCUCGGAGCUUAACUCCGAAACUGCAUUCGAUACUGCCGUGCUUGAGGACUGGAGAGGAGACUGGAAUUUACGGUGUAGCGGUGAAAAUGCGUAGAUAUCGUAAGGAAGACCAGUGGCGAAGGCGGGUCUCUGGACAGUUUCCUGACGUGAGGCACGAAGGCCAGGGGAGCAAACGGG
rnacentral:rRNA from 1 species